rnacentral:rRNA from 1 species
AAUGGACGCAAGUCUGAUGGAGCAACGCCGCGUGAGUGAAGAAGGUUUUCGGAUCGUAAAGCUCUGUUGUUGGUGAAGAAGGAUAGAGGUAGUAACUGGCCUUUAUUUGACGGUAAUCAACCAGAAAGUCACGGCUAACUACGUGCCAGCAGCCGCGGUAAUACGUAGGUGGCAAGCGUUGUCCGGAUUUAUUGGGCGUAAAGCGAGCGCAGGCGGAAGAAUAAGUCUGAUGUGAAAGCCCUCGGCUUAACCGAGGAACUGCAUCGGAAACUGUUUUUCUUGAGUGCAGAAGAGGAGAGUGGAACUCCAUGUGUAGCGGUGGAAUGCGUAGAUAUAUGGAAGAACACCAGUGGCGAAGGCGGCUCUCUGGUCUGCAACUGACGCUGAGGCUCGAAAGCAUGGGUAGCGAACAGGAUUAGAUACCCUGGUAGUCCAUGCCGUAAACGAUGAGUGCUAAGUGUUGGGAGGUUUCCGCCUCUCAGUGCUGCAGCUAACGCAUUAAGCACUCCGCCUGGGGAGUACGACCGCAAGGUUGAAACUCAAAGGAAUUGACGGGGGCCCGCACAAGCGGUGGAGCAUGUGGUUUAAUUCGAAGCAACGCGAAGAACCUUACCAGGUCUUGACAUCUAGUGCCAUUUGUAGAGAUACAAAGUUUCCCUUCGGGGACGCUAAGACAGGUGGUGCAUGG